AACGAACGCGACCAAUAUACCUGUAAUGCAUCGUCAAUCAUGGACCACUUCAGUAUGAUAGACCCCUACCUUAUUUGGUUCAGACACAUUACUCGUCUUCUUAUUGGUAAUCCUACUCCCCGUUCUGAAUGCCAACAAGGUUAUGUGCCUAAUUCAACGGCAUAUGAAACAAUGGCGCGUCAUAUUCAUUCAAUGGUUGAUGAAGCUAAAUCACUUGGAGAUACGCCAUCAUAUUAGGACUUAUACAUGUUUAGAAAGAUGGUGCGGGAUCAAGGUUCUGAUUGUUUGAGAUAUGUCCACGGGGUUGACAGGAUUCAUGUAUCAGCUGAUUAUAGAAGAGAUGAGGUACAACCUGAUACGUUACGCCCCUUAUUCGUAAGCGAGGAAAAGGUGGUGUUGCUGGAAGAAGGGAGCGUCCUAUUGCGAGAGACCAUAUGCCUGUUGAAAUGAAUGAAAUGGAUCAGGCGACGUAAAAUGCCCAAACAACUUUAAAAGUUGAUUAAGCAACGACUAAUUAUGAUUUUGGUUACACUUCAAGGGGUAGCACUCAGGCAUCAGGUAUGACAUAUCAACAUACAGAGAUUGUGCCAUACAUGACGCCCCAGACUUCACAAAUAUCAAGAUAUUCAAGUCUUUCAUCAGUUGAGAAUAUCUUUGGUAGUUAUCGGCCUCAACCUUUUGAGAAUGUCCCAAACUUUACCUCAUCGCCUGUGCCAAUGUCUAUUGAUAUCCAUGAUGCCAUUAAUAAUUUGAAAAACUUAAACACCGCGAUGGAAGAUAAUGAGUUGGAUGAUGCCAACAAUGAAGUGAACGGUAAUGAUCCGGAGGAUGCAAGUAAAGGUUGUGAUAUAACUAUUAAGCAUGGUGAACCAUCAGAGAAAUAGAAGCUUACAAUUAUUGCUAAGCUUUGUGGGACUGGUAUUUUAUCAUGUUUAUGUUAUUUAUUUUUUACUUAACUGCACCUUUUUUUAGUUGUACAGCUGAAAAUCUACCUUUGCUUGAUAGGGAGUCACUAUGCUUACCAGCACGCCGAAAAGAAAAAAGCAAAAGAGUAAAUGAUGGACAACAUGUAUAGCUAACUAUCAGUAAGAAAAGGUAAUUUUCUUACUAAACUGUUCUGAAGUGGUUAAUGAGCUUCAUAGUAAAUGUUGCCCAAAACUUUUUUCCUUUAAUUCAAGUUCUAGUGAUAAGUUGAAUUACUGUUGUAGUGUUAGUGGUUCUCCUGUAAUAUCUCCAUUGCUGCAACUUGAGGAUGAAAGUUACAGUAUUUACUUUUGGUUAUAUGUUUUUGUAAGAGAAUAUAUGUUAGGUGCACUAACAGUAUAACAUACUUUAAUAUAUUAUGAACCUUUGGUUUUUGUCCUGCUUUCAUGGUAGAGGUGUCUAUUAUGUAUUUUCUGUGCUACUAUAGUAGGUCAAUUAUUUCUGUGGUUCUCUUUUGUGAUGGUAUUUGAGGAAAUUCACUUCGAUUUCUUUAUCAAUAGAUGACAACACCGAAAGUACAAGGUAGUAUUUUCUCAGUUGUCCAAGUUUUGGUGGACAAGCUCUUGCAUUGGUGGGAUGAUGUGUAGAUAGCAAAUAUUUUGUUGUAUUAGUCAAGAUGUGUGCAAACUAACUCGAACACCAUAUUUGUUUGAAAAGAACAAUCUCUGCAAACUCACGUCCUCUAUAAUACUGAAGACUGAAGUAUGGUGGGUACAGAUUUUGUUGUUCAAAGUACCAUUCUAUUAACUAUCAGAUUGGUAAAGCAAGCACUUAGUAUAUCUGCUAAUGUAAUGGUUAGUCUCUCAAAUAGUUUUUCAUCAAUCAAAUCACUGUGUCCUUCACUAUUCAGCAGGAUAGCCUUACCAAUUUUAUACAUUGAGUUGGCAGCUAUUAUUCUGACCGGCCAGUUGAGAGGGUUGUCAAGCAUUCUUCCAUCAGUGGUUUGUUAGAAAUCCAUCACCUUCAUUGAAGCUAUUCCUGUAAGCAUCUCAAGUGUUUCCCUGGAAGUUUUUCCUUCGAGGGUCGGUUUCUGCAAGUCCUCAUCCAACCAUAUUUGAUGAAUCUCCAGUUCUUCCCACACUAAAUGUGCUGCAUUUCUAAUGUUUGUGAGAUCACCUUCAGAGUACAUGGUUUCUUCUACGAAGCUGGCAAAUGCAAGGCCUUCAUGGACACUCCUUAUCAACUGAUAGUCCAUCUGAUCUCUCACUUUGGGAAGUGCAAUAGCAAUGCUAGUGAGUGUCACCAGGCUUAUGGUCCAGCAGUUAAGAAGGCUCUACUGAAUGCAGUGGGUGGAACUGAGUCAUAGUAAAUAUCUGCUACCCCAGAAAAGCUGCUAGAUUUUCUCAGUAAAUUAACCAGAUGUUUUAGUUGCCAUUUCCUUCCUGCGUCUAUUAGUCGGUUUGCAGUACCAGAUAUGUUACUCUAACAAACAGAAUGGGAUCUCUGAUAGUUAACAGAAUGGUACUUUGAAAGGCAAAAAUCUGUACCCACCAUGCUUCACAGUCUUCGGUAUUAUAGAGGACAUGAAUUUCCAGAGAUUGUUCUUUUCAAACAAAUACACAUCUUGACUAAUACAACAAAAUAUCUGCUAUCUACACAUCAUCCCACCAAUGCAAGAGCUUGUCCACCAAAACUUGGACAACUGAGAAAAUACUACCUUGUGCUUUCGGUGUUGUCAUCUAUUUAUAAAGAAAUCGAAGUGAAUUUCCUCAAAUACCAUCACAAAAGAGAACCACAGAAAUAAUUGACCUACUAUAGUAGCACAGAAAAUACAUAAUAGACACCUCUACCAUGAAAGCAGGACAAAAAUCAAAGUUUCAUAAUAUAAAAUUAAAGUACGUUAUACUGUUAGUGCACCUAACAUAUACUCUCUUACAAAAACAUAUAACCAAAAGUAGAUACUCUAACUUUCAUUCUCAAGUUGCAGCAAAUGGAGAUGUUACAGGAGAACCACUAACACUACAAUAGUACUUCAACUUAUCACUAGAACUUGAAUUAAAGGAAAAAAGUUUUGGGCAACAUUUACUAUGAAGCUCAUUAACCACUUCAGAACAGUUUAGUAAAAAAAUUACCUUUUCUUACUGAUAGUUAGCUAUACAUGUUGUCCAUCAUUUACUCUUUUGCUUUUUUCUUUUCGGCGUGCUGGUAAGCAUAGUGACUCCCUAUCAAGCAAAGGUAGAUUUUCAGCUGUACAACUAAAAAAAGGUGCAGUGAAGUAAAAAAUAAAUAACAUAAAUAACAUAAACAUGAUAAAAUACCAGUCCCACAAAGCUUAGCAAUAAUUGUAAGCUUCUCUUUCUCUGAUGGUUCACCAUGCUUAAUAGUUAUAUCACAACCUUUACUUGCAUCCUCCAGAUCAUUACCGUUCACUUCAUUGUUGGCAUCAUCCAACUCAUUAUCUUCCAUCGCGGUGUUUAAGUUUUUCAAAUUAUUAAUGGCAUCAUGGAUAUCAAUAGACAUUGGCACAGGCGAUGAGGUAAAGUUUGCGGCAUUCUCAAAAGGUUGAGGCCGAUAACUUCCAAAGAUAUUCUCAAGUGAUGAAAGACUUGAAUAUCUUGAUAUUUGUGGCGUCAUGUAUGUCACAAUCUCUGUAUGUUGAUAUGUCAUACCUGAUGCCUGAGUGCAAGCACUUGAAGUGGAACCAAAAUCAUAAUUAGUCGUUGCUUGAUCAACUUCUAAAGUUGUUUGGGCAUUUUACGUCGUCUAAUCCAUUUCAACAGGCACAUGGUCUCUCGCAAUAGCACGCUCCCUUCUUCCAGCAACACUACCUUUUCCUCGCUUAUGAAUAGGGGGCGUAACUGAUCAAGUUGUACCUCAUCUCUUCUAUAAUCAGCUGAUACAUGAAUCCUGGCGGCUUCGUGGACAUAUCUCAAACAAUCAGAACCUUGAUCCCGCACCAUCUUUCUAAACAUGUAUAAGUCCUAAUAUGAUGGCGUAUCUCCAAGUGAUUUAGCUUCAUCAAACAUUGAAUGAAUAUGACGUGCCUGUGAAAUUAAAGUAAAAGUCAUUUAACCGUACAAGCAUCAAAAAGACUAAAGAAAAGCUAAUUUCCUAGUCUGGAGUUUCUGAUUAUUAUUAACAUAUAUUAGAUAAACAAAAAUCAUACAUGCAAAGUUCUACUUACCAUUAUUUCAUAUGUCGUUGAAUUAGGCACAUAACCUUGUUGGCAUUGAGAACGGGGAGUAGGAUUUUCAAUGAGAAGACGAGUAAUGUGUCUGAAACAAAUAAGGUAGGGGUGUAUCAUACCGAAGUGGUCCAUGAUUGACGGUGCAUUAUAGAUAUACUAGCCGCGUUCGUUCCAAAAAGGUAAUUAUUGUGCAUGUUCUAACUCUUAGUUUGUAUUUGGCUUCCCCGACGAUCAUGAUGAAAAUGGGUGGAAACAAAUAGAAAUGGAGUUGGAAUCACCUGUUGCUAUCCAAAUUGCCUCGUUACUCUAUCAGACAAAUGAACCUCUGCCAUAUCCCAACAAAAAAAUGGAACUCUUAACACGUCACAUGUGUCGUCCAGCGCGACAAUAGUCAGGAAUACUCUCAAUUAAGUCAUCAAGAUAUGGUUCCCAAAUAAACGACAUGAAAAAGGAAAAAGCAAAUGAUUCUUUACCUGUACAAUCCACAUAAAAUAAAAAAAAAUUAUACACAUUCUACCUGAUCUUCUGUCAUAGAGUCAAGUGCAUCCCUACAAACUUUCAGCACAUGCUUAGUAGUAUUAGUCCAACUAAAGUGUACAAACCAUCUAGUAGCAUGUGGAUCCCUAGGCAAACCAAUGGGGAAAAUAUUUCUUGUGCCUCUAUGGCCUAAGGACAGUUAUCCUUUCACAUGCCCAAACCUGAUAUAUAUAUAUAUUGUAUAUAAACUAAAAGAAAUAUCAAUAAAUAAUUUGUGCAGUUAUUAAAUAUACCUGGAGUAGUGGUAGGAAUAUGGCUAUCUCAUUUUUUGUACUCUGUGAGGCUUUACAAAAAAACGAUACAGGUAUGCUAAAGUUGCACUACCCCAACUAUAAGACCCAAUUGCAUUGAUGUCCUCGAGCAUAGGCAGAUACGUAAGUUUCAAAUAACCACUAGAUGUAUUCGUCAUCAUCAUACCCGCAAUUAUCCAGAACAUGUAACACCUAGCCUUUUGAUUGAUUAUUUCUUAUGUUGCCUUGUCCGGCAAUUGUGGCUGGCCUAACAUGUGCGCAUUAAGCGCAACGACCUUAAGGGAACUAUUUUUGAAGUCUUGGAGAGAUAGAACAAAACCUAAUAAUCUCUGACAAAUGUUUUGCCAAUCCCCUGUGGUCCUCGUCGUCUCAUUACCAAGUACCGGAUCACCAUUCACGGGUAAUCCAUACAACACCUCUACGUCCUGCAAGGUGAUAGUUGCUUCACCUGUUAUAAAGUGGAAAGUAUGAGUUUUGGGACGCCAGCGCUCAACUAGUGAAGUGAUCAAACUACGGUCGAUAGUAGGCCUAUUAGAUCUAUAAACACCAGAUAAUUUAAUCACUUCUAAAACUCGUACCACCCAUAAAAAAAGUACCUGUACAUAAGUGAAUAUUUUCAUUAUAAUAAACAAAUUAACCAGCCAUAAAAGAAAAAAAAAUGUUCUCUUAAAUAUGACCAAAGUCUACAAAUAAUUCUCUCCUUUAAGAAAUAUCCCAAAAUUGAAAAGAAAUUUGAUUCCAUCUGUUCCAAAAUCGUAAUUUAGAGCACAGUUGAAUAAAAUUUGAGAAAUACAAAAAUUUUAAAUAGAGAGUCAAGUUGAGUUUAAGAAAAUAGAGAGUAAAUUCGUACCAAAAACAAUACUAAAGAAGCACUCUUUCUAUCGGCGCUUGAGGCUAGGAUUUCGCAAUCUGAAAGACAGAUGAACGCACAAUUACUUAGAUGGAUAGGAUUGCAUUGACAAUUGAAUCAACCAUAGGUGAUUGCAAUUACUUUGGGCCUAGGACUUAUUUGCAUGCACAUAUUAUAUAAGUGCAUUUAGUGGGUUGUUUUGUAUAUUCAGAAAUUACGUGUCUCCAUAUUGUACUCCUCUCCUUUCAUUGUGGUUUGCUUUAUUUCUGUCCGAUAUAUAACACAAUUAAGUUCAUCUCAGAAAACAUAAGAAACUGUAAAGACAUUAUACUUAAACAAACGCUUAAACUUGGCCUCAAGGGGCAAGUAAGCACUCCAACUUUGAGUGAGCAUAUAUGAUCAUCUACGCACCUCCAAAUUUUAUGUGCCACGUCAGCAUUGGGUGUCCACAAGACACAUCGGACGAGCUUGAGGUUUAGUUGCCAGUGGAGAUCAAGUUGAGAUAUCUAGAUGUGCACUCUCAAAGUUGGGGGUGCUUACUUGUCUCUGUUUCUGUAAAGAGGGGUUCAUCUAGUGUUUGGGGGUGCUUACUUGUCUCUGUUUCUGUAAAGAGGGGUUCAUCUAGUGUUGGAAGCCCGCUCAUGACGUGGACUUUGAUUCUAUUUUUAAAAGGUAUGCUAGCUCAGAGCGAUUUUUCACUAUUGGAAGGAAUGACAGGAACAAGGUUUGUCGGCUGGAGUGUAAGCUUCCACUGAUCAAUAUAAGCUGAUUGAUCACUAUUUAUAUUUGGAAGUUCAUGGUGUUGAAUUACGUUCAAGAUAUCUUCGGUCUUACCAACUAAUAAAGCUGCUCUGUGUACACUUUUUUCCCUCUCUUCAAUGACACCAGAGUUACAAGCCAUAGUUAUAGCUCGAGGCAGAUUGGUAAAGCAAGCACUUAGUAUAUCUGCUAUUAUUAUGGAUAGUCUCUCGAAUAGUUUUUCAUCAACCAAGUCAUUGUGUCCUUCACUAUUCAGCAGGAUAGCCUUCCCAAUUUUGUACAUUGAGUUGGCAGCUAUUAUUCUGACCGGCCAGUUGAGAGGAUUGUCGAGCAUUCCUCCAUCAGUGGUUUGUUUGAAAUCCAUCACCUUCUUUGAAGCUAUUCCUGUAAGCAUCUCAAGUGUUUCCCUAGAAGUUUUUCCUUCGAGGGUCGGUUUCUGCAAGUCCUCAUCCAACCAUUUUUGAUGGAUCUCCAGUUCUUCCCACACUAAAUGUGCUGCAUUUCUAAUGUUUGUGAGAUCACCUUCAGAGUACAUGGUUUCCUCUACGAAGCUGGCAAACGCAAGGCCUUCAUGGACACUCCUUAUCAGCUGAUAGUCCAUCUGAUCUCUCACUUUGGGAAGUGCAACAACAAUACUAGUGAGUGUCACCAGGCUUAUGGUCCAGCAGUUAGAAGGUUCUACUGAAUGCAGUGGUGGAACUUGGUCAUAGUAAAUAUCUGCUACCCCAGAAAAGCUGCUAGAUUUUCUCAGCAAAUUAACCAGAUGUUUUGGCUGCCGUUUCCUUCCUGUGUCUACUAGUCGGUUUGCAGUACCAGAUAUGUUCGUAAAAAUUCUUUCAGGCAAUUCUUCUUCGCCUUCUAGUAACAAAACAUACCGGUGAAAUUCAAAGUCUCUCCUGUGUUCUGGGUCUGAUUGAUGGUAGUUUGGACCCUUAAGUUGACACAAGAACAUCAAGUUGAAGGAAACAACCGAGACAAACCGCACAAAUUUGCUCGUUGACACAAUCAAAAUCUGAGUUCUUAUGCAGAAGGCAAGAAUUAAGUUUCUUGUACCCUGGAGAUAUUUUCUAAAUUUUGUUCCCCUAAUGUUUAAAGACAAUGGUCUCUCCUUCCACUCAACCAGCUUGCGGAUCCAGUAGUAUUCGACUCUGGAGCAAUUCGCAUUAUCAUUGCCAAUUUUGUUGGAACGCUUAAAGCUUAUAAAGAUAAACCAUCUGAGUGCUGGAGCAACAGUACCCACGACCACUCCAAUAGACUGAGCAAUAAGAAUCAAACCUGUUGACCAUUUGUAUGUUGAACUAUUCGGGAAAUAUGGAGGUGAAUUAUAUAUUCUUAUAAGAGCUUCCAUCAAAAUUAGAGAUGCCAACACACAGAUUGUUCCUGAAGUUGAAAAGGUUACAGAACGUGCCAUCACGAAUUGAGGGUUACUAGUUUCGACCAUCAUCCAACACCUCUCUACAGUGUCUUUUAGUCUAUCGAUCGAUAACUUUCCGAAUGCUAAUGCAUCAUCCCUCAUGGUUGUUUGAUAUGCUUCUUUAUAGUUAAGUUCAAGAAUCUUUUUGGUAGUUGCAAGUGAUAAAGAGGAGAAACUCAAUACCAAUAUCAGAAGAAACAUGAGGAAUAUAGUUGCUAUAAAUUCUGCUUUCAGGUUAAAAAUCAAAUCAGUAUAUAUUUCAAUGCAGAGAUUGACAAUGAUCGUGAUUACCAGGAUGUCAAGAGCUACAACGUUCGACAAGAUCUCUUUGUUACUCAUGGCUCCUAUUGAUGGCAUGAAGUUACCUAUUACAACACAGAUGAAAACAGUGCUGGCUAGUUUGGAAAGCUGGUCAGUAUGACCAGGCAUCGGUUCAGAUAUAUCGACAGGCAACUUCAUUGCUACAGCUAACACUGUAAGAGAAGCGGCAUUCAAAGCAAAGAAUUUGCAAGGGAACCAAAGUCUUUUUAGCCGGAAGGCUUGGAAGGCAUCAGCAAGCAUUGCAAGAGUACAAAGUAGAGAUGCUGCUGCUACAUAUACGCCAAUUGUUGGCAUUGGCUUACUAAAUGAUUCGCUGUAGCAUCUUUUGUUGCAUGCAUCAGUGAUCAUAUGGCAAAAAUGAUUAUCACACGACGCCACAUUCAUGUUCACCACGACUCCAAUUUCACUUAUGAAUUAUGGAAUGAGUACCAAAAUUCAGGAGUAAGAUGAAAAGCUAUAACAAAAGGUUAUCUUGAUUCUUUUAGCCCUGUGAAACCAUGAUGGAAGGGUGACUCAUCUUUCAGUUGAAUUGAAUGACUGACAAUUUGCUACAAAGUGACAAUAGACUUUUCCAACAAGGGGUAUAUUCAGUGUAUUCUCUAUGGUUUUCUUCUGAUAAUUUAAACUACAUGAAAAUUAAAGACUAAACAUUUCAACAUCUGAUGUGACAUUCAUUGGGAAAAAAUCGUUAAUUUCCUGUGUUCGGUUACCAGAAAAUGUUUUUAAGCAUCAACAGAGGGAAAAUAACUUUCUUUACUUAUUGGCAAAAGUAAUUUUUUUCCAA